AUGAUUGUCUAAUCAAGAAGAGUAACUUUUUACGAUUUUCAAGCGAGUUCGGGAAGGUGGAAGCCGAAUAAAGAAGAAAAAGCGAAGCGCACUUGAGAAUAUUUGCUUAGCAAACGGUAUCUACCGUUAUCAGAUAAAGUCGGUUCGAUUGUCGAACAAACAGAGUGGUACCGCGGGAAAUCUCGUCUCUAGU
rnacentral:ncRNA from 1 species